AUAUCAAUAAGCGGAGGAAAAGAAACCAACCGGGAUUGCCUCAGUAACGGCGAGUGAAGCGGCAAGAGCUCAAAUUUGAAAUCUGGCCCCUUUGGGGUCCGAGUUGUAAUUUGCAGAGGAUGCUUCGGGUGCGGUCCCCGUCUAAGUGCCCUGGAACGGGCCGUCAUAGAGGGUGAGAAUCCCGUCUGGGAUGGGCGGCCGCGCCCGUGUGAAGCUCCUUCGACGAGUCGAGUUGUUUGGGAAUGCAGCUCUAAGCGGGUGGUAAAUUUCAUCUAAAGCUAAAUACUGGCCGGAGACCGAUAGCGCACAAGUAGAGUGAUCGAAAGAUGAAAAGCACUUUGAAAAGAGAGUUAAACAGCACGUGAAAUUGUUGAAAGGGAAGCGUUGACCACCAGACUCGCCCGGGGGGGCUCAGCCGGCACGUGUGCCGGUGUACUCCCCUCCGGGCGGGCCAGCAUCGGUUUGGGCGGCUGGUAAAAGGCCCCGGGAAUGUAACACCCUCCGGGGUGCCUUAUAGCCCGGGGUGCCAUGCAGCCAGCCUGGACCGAGGCCCGCGCUUCGGCGAGGAUGCUGGCGUAAUGGUGGCCAACGGCCCGUCUUGAAACACGGACC
rnacentral:rRNA from 1 species